rnacentral:tRNA from 1 species
GGCCUCGUAGUUCAAUGGAUAGAAUAAAGGAUUCCGGUUCCUUCGAUCGGGGUUCGACCCCCCGCGAGGUCA